ACGGAAGGCAGCAGUGGGGAAUAUUGCACAAUGGAGGAAACUCUGAUGCAGCGACGCCGCGUGAGGGAAGAAGGUUUUCGGAUUGUAAACCUCUGUCCUUGGUGACGAAAAUGACGGUAGCCAAGGAGGAAGCCACGGCUAACUACGUGCCAGCAGCCGCGGUAAUACGUAGGUGGCAAGCGUUGUCCGGAAUUACUGGGUGUAAAGGGAGCGUAGGCGGGUCGGCAAGUCGAUUGUUUAAACUAUGGGCUCAACUCAUAGUCGCGAUCGAAACUACCGAUCUUGAGUGAAGUAGAGGUAAGCGGAAUUCCUAGUGUAGCGGUGAAAUGCGUAAAUAUUAGGAGGAACACCAGUGGCGAAGGCGGCUUACUGGGCUUUAACUGACGCUGAGGCUCGAAAGCGUGGGUAGCAAACAGGAUUAGAUACCCUGGUA
rnacentral:rRNA from 1 species